rnacentral:rRNA from 1 species
AAAAACAUUUCUUAUAAAAUUUUUAUAAGUAAAAUCUGCUCCAUGAAUUUAAAUAGCCGCAGAAUAACUGUGCUAAGGUAGCAUAAUCAUUAGUCUUUUAAUUUAAGACCAGAAUGAAUGAUUUAACAUUUUAAUUAAUUUUUUAAAUUAAUCAUUUUUAAUUUUAACUAAAAAUUAAAAUGUUUUUAUAAGUAAAAAAGACGAUAAGACCCUAUUGAACUUUACUUUAGUUAAGCUGGGGAAGCUAAUUAAAAAUAAUUUUAAUUAUUUUAAAAAAAUAAAAUUCCAAUAAAAUUGAAUUUAUCAAGUUACCAUAGGGAUAACAGCGUAAUAAUUUUUAAAAGUUCUUAUUAAAAAAAAAGAUUACGACCUCGAUGUUGAAUU